rnacentral:sRNA from 1 species
UUGACUGCUCUGGGGACCAGAACUUGAGAUUUCUCUGCAAAGCAGAGUGUAGCCAGCCACAGCCCUGUCUCCAUCCCUGAGCCUCAGCCCUGCCUGCUGGGGCCACCAGCUCCGGGUGGAAGAGUCAUUUGGUCUCCCUUCGACUUAAUCCUCGCCGGUC